rnacentral:rRNA from 2 species
AAAUUGAAGAGUUUGAUCAUGGCUCAGAUUGAACGCUGGCGGCAGGCCUAACACAUGCAAGUCGAACGGUAACAGGAAGCAGCUUGCUGCUUUGCUGACGAGUGGCGGACGGGUGAGUAAUGUCUGGGAAACUGCCUGAUGGAGGGGGAUAACUACUGGAAACGGUGGCUAAUACCGCAUAACGUCGCAAGACCAAAGAGGGGGACCUUCGGGCCUCUUGCCAUCAGAUGUGCCCAGAUGGGAUUAGCUUGUUGGUGAGGUAACGGCUCACCAAGGCGACGAUCCCUAGCUGGUCUGAGAGGAUGACC